rnacentral:rRNA from 1 species
AGUGAACGCUGGCGGUAGGCCUAACACAUGCAAGUCGAACGGCAGCACAGUAAGAGCUUGCUCUUACGGGUGGCGAGUGGCGGACGGGGGAGGAAUACAUCGGAAUCUACUUUUUCGUGGGGGAUAACGUAGGGAAACUUACGCUAAUACCGCAUACGACCUACGGGUGAAAGCAGGGGAUCUUCGGCCCUUGCGCGAUUGAAUGAGCCGAUGUCGGAUUAGCUAGUUGGCGGGGUAAAGGCCCACCAAGGCGACGAUCCGUAGCUGGUCUGAGAGGAUGAUCAGCCACACUGGAACUGAGACACGGUCCAGACUCCUACGGGAGGCAGCAGUGGGGAAUAUUGGACAAUGGGCGCAAGCCUGAUCCAGCCAUACCGCGUGGGUGAAGAAGGCCUUCGGGUUGUAAAGCCCUUUUGUUGGGAAAGAAAAGCAGCAGGUUAAUACCCCGCUGUUCUGACGGUACCCAAAGAAUAAGCACCGGCUAACUUCGUG